rnacentral:rRNA from 1 species
GUGGGGAAUUUUGGACAAUGGGCGCAAGCCUGAUCCAGCAAUGCCGCGUGCAGGAAGAAGGCCUUCGGGUUGUAAACUGCUUUUGUACGGAACGAAACGGUCCUGGUUAAUACCCGGGGCUAAUGACGGUACCGUAAGAAUAAGCACCGGCUAACUACGUGCCAGCAGCCGCGGUAAUACGUAGGGUGCAAGCGUUAAUCGGAAUUACUGGGCGUAAAGCGUGCGCAGGCGGUGCUGUAAGACAGGCGUGAAAUCCCCGGGCUUAACCUGGGAAUUGCGCUUGUGACUGCAGUGCUGGAGUGCGGCAGAGGGGGAUGGAAUUCCGCGUGUAGCAGUGAAAUGCGUAGAUAUGCGGAGGAACACCGAUGGCGAAGGCAAUCCCCUGGGCCUGCACUGACGCUCAUGCACGAAAGCGUGGGGAGCAAACAGGAUUAGAAACCCCGGUAGUCC